rnacentral:rRNA from 1 species
GGCUGGACUAUUUAUUACCCUUGUCUUUUGCGCACUUGUUGUUUCCUGGGCGGGUUCGCUCGCCACCAGGACCACAAUAUAAACCUUUUUUAUGCAGUUGCAAUCAGCGUCAGUAUAACAAAUGUAAAUCAUUUACAACUUUCAACAACGGAUCUCUUGGUUCUGGCAUCGAUGAAGAACGCAGCGAAAUGCGAUACGUAGUGUGAAUUGCAGAAUUCAGUGAAUCAUCGAAUCUUUGAACGCACAUUGCGCCCUUUGGUAUUCCAAAGGGCAUGCCUGUUCGAGCGUCAUUUGUACCCUCAAGCUUUGCUUGGUGUUGGGCGUUUUUGUCCCCCCCAAAAGGGGGACUCGCCUUAAAAGGAUUGGCAGCCGGCCUACUGGUUUCGCAGCGCAGCACAUUUUUGCGCUUGCAAUCAGCAAAAGAGGACGGCAAUCCAUCAAGACUCCUUCUCACGUUUGACCUCGGAUCAGGUAGGGAUACCCGCUGAACUUAAGCAUAUCAAUA